rnacentral:lncRNA from 1 species
AAAACACUGAUGCAAGAAAUCAAGGGUCACUUUUCUGCUGUGGAUGUUGUACCUCCCUUAUUAUGAAAAGCCUGAAUUUCAGGAAAAAAGCAACAGAGAUAGGAUUAAUGAAGAAUCAACUGAUGCCUUCAUUACUGUGCUAAUGAACCACCUUCCAUCUACUGCUUGCUGUGAAUCUGCUCCCAUUGCCCCAGAUCUUAACUCUAUGUAA